rnacentral:rRNA from 1 species
GUAGAGCAAAUCUCAAAAAAACAAUCUCAGUUCAGACUGCAGGCUGCAACUCGCCUGCACGAAGUCGGAAUUGCUAGUAAUCGUAGGUCAGCAUACUACGGUGAAUACGUUCCCGGGCCUUGUACACACCGCCCGUCACACCAUGAGAGUUGGGGAUACCCGAAGCCUGUGAGCUAACUAUUUAUAGGAGCAGCAGUCGAAGGUAGAAUCAAUGAUUGGGGUGAAGUCGUAACAAGGUAUC